rnacentral:rRNA from 1 species
UACAGAGGGGGCAAGCGUUAUUCGGAAUUAUUGGGCGUAAAGGGCGCGUAGGCGGCCUGACAAGUGGAAGGUGAAAUCCCUCGGCUCAACUGAGGAACUGCCCUCCAAACUGUUUGGCUUGAGACCGGGAGAGGUGAGUGGAAUUCCCAGUGUAGCGGUGAAAUGCGUAGAUAUUGGGAGGAACACCAGUGGCGAAGGCGGCUCUCUGGGACGGUACUGACGCUGAGACGCGAAAGCGUGGGGAGCGAACAGG